rnacentral:tRNA from 1 species
UUUAAUAUGGCAGAUUAGUGCAAUGGACUUAAGAUCCAAUCAAAAAGACUAAAUACAAUCUUUUAUURARU